UACGAAGGGGGCUAGCGUUGCUCGGAAGCACUGGGCGUAAAGGGUGCGUAGGCGGGUCUUUAAGUCAGGGGGGAAAUCCUGGAGCUCAACUCCAGAACUGCCUUUGAUACUGAAGAUCUUGAGUUCGGGAGAGGUGAGUGGAACUGCGAGUGUAGAGGUGAAAUUCGUAGAUAUUCGCAAGAACACCAGUGGCGAAGGCGGCUCACUGGCCCGAUACUGACGCUGAGGCACGAAAGCGUGGGGAGCAAACAGG
rnacentral:rRNA from 1 species